rnacentral:rRNA from 1 species
ACGGGUGAGUAAUGUCUGGGGAUCUGCCCGAUAGAGGGGGAUAACCACUGGAAACGGUGGCUAAUACCGCAUAACGUCGCAAGACCAAAGAGGGGGACCUUCGGGCCUCUCACUAUCGGAUGAACCCAGAUGGGAUUAGCUAGUAGGCGGGGUAAUGGCCCACCUAGGCGACGAUCCCUAGCUGGUCUGAGAGGAUGACCAGCCACACUGGAACUGAGACACGGUCCAGACUCCUACGGGAGGCAGCAGUGGGGAAUAUUGCACAAUGGGCGCAAGCCUGAUGCAGCCAUGCCGCGUGUAUGAAGAAGGCCUUCGGGUUGUAAAGUACUUUCAGCGGGGAGGAAGGCGACGGGGUUAAUAACCCUGUCGAUUGACGUUACCCGCAGAAGAAGCACCGGCUAACUCCGUGCCAGCAGCCGCGGUAAUACGGAGGGUGCAAGCGUUAAUCGGAAUUACUGGGCGUAAAGCGCACGCAGGCGGUCUGUUAAGUCAGAUGUGAAAUCCCCGGGCUUAACCUGGGAACUGCAUUUGAAACUGGCAGGCUUGAGUCUUGUAGAGGGGGGUAGAAUUCCAGGUGUAGCG